rnacentral:rRNA from 1 species
GAUGAACGCUAGCGGCAGGCCUAAUACAUGCAAGUCGAACGGUGUAGCAAUACACAGUGGCGCACGGGUGCGUAACACGUAUGCAACCUACCUUACAUUGGGGGAUAGCCUUUCGAAAGGGAGAUUAAUACCGCAUAAGACAGUAACUGGGCAUCCAGUAGCUGUUAAAGAUUUAUCGAUGUAAGUUGGGCAUGCGUCCAAUUAGUUAGUUGGCGAGGUAAUGGCUCACCAAGACGAUGAUUGGUAGGGGAACUGAGAGGUCAAUCCCCCACACUGGCACUGAGGUACGGGCCAGACUCCUACGGGAGGCAGCAGUAGGGAAUAUUGGGCAAUGGGCGCAAGCCUGACCCAGCCAUGCCGCGUGCAGGAAGAAGGCGUUAUGCGUUGUAAACUGCUUUUAUACAGGAAGAAACGACCCUUGCGAGGGGCAUUGACGGUACUGUAUGAAUAAGCACCGGCUAACUCCGUGCCAGCCGCCGCGGUAAAAC